AUACGAAAGGUGUAAGCGUUGUUCGGAUUUACUGGGCGUAAAGAGAGUGUAGGUGGUUUAUUAAGUCGGAUGUGAAAUCCCGGGGCUCAACCUCGGAACUGCAUUCGAUACUGAUAGGCUAGAGUUUGGGAGGGGUAAGCGGAAUUCCGUGUGUAGCAGUGAAAUGCGUAGAUAUACGGAGGAACACCUGAGGCGAAGGCGGCUUACUGGAUCAAUACUGACACUGAGACUCGAAAGCGUGGGUAGCAAACAGGAUUAGAAACCCUAGUAGUCC
rnacentral:rRNA from 1 species